UUCACCUACGGGAGGCAGCAGUAGGGAAUCUUCCACAAUGGGCGAAAGCCUGAUGGAGCAACGCCGCGUGGGUGAAGAAGGUCUUCGGAUCGUAAAACCCUGUUGUUAGAGAAGAAAGUGCGUGAGAGUAACCGUUCACGUUUCGACGGUAUCUAACCAGAAAGCCACGGCUAACUACGUGCCAGCAGCCGUGGUAAUACGUCGGUGGCAAGCGUUAUCCGGAUUUAUUGGGCGUAAAGGGAACGCAGGCGGUCUUUUACGUCUGCUGU
rnacentral:rRNA from 1 species